GACGAACGCUGGCGGCGUGCCUAAUACAUGCAAGUAGAACGCUGAAGGAGGAGCUUGCUUCUCUGGAUGAGUUGCGAACGGGUGAGUAACGCGUAGGUAACCUGCCUGGUAGCGGGGGAUAACUAUUGGAAACGAUAGCUAAUACCGCAUAAGAGUAGAUGUUGCAUGACAUUUGCUUAAAAGGUGCAAUUGCAUCACUACCAGAUGGACCUGCGUUGUAUUAGCUAGUUGGUGGGGUAACGGCUUACCAAGGCGACGAUACAUAGCCGACCUGAGAGGGUGAUCGGCCACACUGGGACUGAGACACGGCCCAGACUCCUACGGGAGGCAGCAGUAGGGAAUCUUCGGCAAUGGACGGAAGUCUGACCGAGCAACGCCGCGUGAGUGAAGAAGGUUUUCGGAUCGUAAAGCUCCGUUGUAAGAGAAGAACGAGUGUGAGAGUGGAAAGUUCACACUGUGACGGUAUCUUACCAGAAAGGGACGGCUAACUACGUG
rnacentral:rRNA from 1 species